GAACCCGACAUGCAUGAGUUUUGUGUGAUUUUUGUCUCCCUAAUUAUUUCGUUACCUAUAAAUACCUUGUCUUGAAUGUGAGAGCCGCAUUCAAACAGAUACCCAAACCCUAGCAAAUACAGCAUUUCCAAUCUAUUACAGUAGUAGCAAACAAUAGAUCUGUUUCGUAGAAGCGGAUUUGCAGCUCCAUGGUCUCAAAAAAUGGGCUUUGGUUUUGCUACACAGGGCGUCUUCUUCGAGAGUGGUGAGACUGGAUCCGAGACUGUGUGAGUCUAAUGAAGUUCGAUUCCGACGGUGGUAGAGAGUAAGGCGGGACGUGAGUUCCUUUGUCGAUUAGAAGGAAGUUGAUUGUAACCCAAUGUCUAUGCUUACAGAUGAUCGACAAGGGUAUUUCACAUCUGGAUAAGCCGAACACUCAUAACACUCAUAAGUUUGUUAUAGGGGUGAGUCCCGGAAGAGGAUACGGAAGAGGACCCAGAGGAGGAUCCGGAAGAGGACCCACAUACCUGCCACAUCAACAGGCCCCGACUCAGGGAUCGUAAAUAGAACCUUACUUACCUAGUAGGUUGUUAUGUAAUUAUUCCAGAAACAUAUGUAAUACUGAUGCUUUGUACGCCUUAUGUUAGAUUUAUUUUUAGAUAUUUUGAAUUUUAGUUUUUAGAUAACACUCAUAAGAUUGUUGUCGAUAUAUUUGUUUUUAGAUCUUUCGAAUAAUAGUUUUUAGAUAACACUCAUAAGUUUAUUAUCUUCUGAGUUUGUAACUGUGUGAGUCUAAUGAAUGAAUGAUUACACGAGCCCAUGUUCAUGUUUAA